GCCUCACUGACUCAGUUGAUGGAGCAUGAGACUCUUGAUCUCAUAGUCAUGAGUUCAAGCCCCAUGUUGGGCA
rnacentral:tRNA from 1 species